AGCAUGCAUAAUUAUAAUUGUGAUUUACAUGUAUACAGAUAGCCUGGGCCACUACAACCCACGUUGGAUGUGCCACUGCCCUCUGUCCUUCUGUCGGUAUGAAUGUUUUCAUAUGCAACUAUGGACCAUUGGGUAACUAUCAGGGAGUCAAUCCAUACGUACAAGGAUCUUCGUGCAGCCAGUGUCCAGCUGGUUUUAACACGUGCAGUAAUAAAUUGUGCUCUUCUGCAUGGUUCAACUGUUGACACCUCUUCCAGUCAAGAGGCCUUCAUUCAACUCAUCAUGAACAUGAUGGAGGCUGAGAGAGAAAGGGAAUGAAACAAUGUCGUAGCUAUGAACAUAUGAACAUGAAGUUAGUGAGUAGCUGUACACCAAUUAGUGGUUUGUAGUUCCGAAACACAUGGUAGGAUCAGUCAUGCGUAUAGUUUCUUCUUAGUUCAUAUCGUUUAAUUGCAGUGUAGCUGCUCUAA